rnacentral:misc_RNA from 1 species
AAAAUGCGAUACGUAAUGCGAAUUGCAGAAUUCAGUGAAUCAUCAAAUCUUUGAACGCAAAUUGCGCUCUCGGGAUAGGCCUGAGAGCACGCCUCUUUGAGCAUCGAUUCUACCACAAGUCGACGACGUCCUUGCAAAAGGAUGCGCAGUCGGACACUGAGCUUCGUCAGCCUCUGGCUGGCUUGCUUUAAAUAGAGCGAGAUGCACUGCUUCACGCUUCGUGAACCUUCCAAUACGUGACUGACUGCUCGUAUGCUGUUCUGAUCGGUGGUCGCAAUUGCAGCCGAACGUCACGAAAGUGACCACUCUUUUGAAUUAGAUCUCAAAUGAAGCGAGAAAACCCGCUGAACUUAA